rnacentral:rRNA from 1 species
UACUCCUACGGGAGGCAGCAGUGGGGAAUUUUGCGCAAUGGGGGAAACCCUGACGCAGCAACGCCGCGUGAGGGAUGAAGGCCUUCGGGUUGUAAACCUCUUUUCUCAGGGACGAUGAUGACGGUACCUGAGGAAGAAGCCACGGCUUUCUACGUGCCAGCAGCCGCGGUAAU